rnacentral:lncRNA from 1 species
AACGAUUAGCUUAAGCGGCUUUCUUGAAUCUUUACACCAACUUGAAUAAUUAAAGUCUUCAAGAGAGAAACUAUGUAGAAUAGAGAACAAUAGACCAAAAGAUAAAGAUAAACUAGCUGAUAAGAGACUGGACUCCUAACUUCGCCCCAAAAGCUAGCUCGUAAAGGAAGGACUGAAUCCAGCACUUCCGUGAUACUUUGGAAGUCAUGGACAAAUGAUUGUUUU